CAAUAGCGUAUAUUAAAGUUGUUGCAGUUAAAAAGCUCGUAGUUGGAUUUCGGGGCAGCCUGGCUGGUCCGCCGCAAGGCGAGUACUGGUCAGCCGCCCUUCCUCUCGAAAGCCCCGACUGCUCUUCGUUGCAGUGGUCGGGUAGUUCGGGACGUUUACUUUGAAAAAAUUAGAGUGUUCAAGGCAGGCCUACGCCUGAAUACAUUAGCAUGGAAUAAUGGAAGAGGACCUCGGUCCUAUUUUGUUGGUUUCCAGGGCCGAAGUAAUGAUUAAGAGGGACAGUUGGGGGCAUUCGUAUUUAAUUGUCAGAGGUGAAAUUCUCGGAUUUAUGAAAGACGAACAACUGCGAAAGCAUUUGCCAAGGAUGUUUCCAUUAA
rnacentral:rRNA from 1 species